UGGGGAAUUUUGCACAAUGGGGGGAACCUUGAUGCAGCGACGCCGCGUGAGGGAUGGAGGCCUUCGGGUUGUGAACCUCUUUCGCUCGUGUGCAAGCCGCUAUUUGGGUAGUGGUGAGUGUAGCGGGUAAAGAAGCGCCGGCUAACUACGUUCCAGCAGCCGCGGUAAUACGUAGGGCUCGAUCGUUGUCCGGAUUUAUUGGGCGUAAAGGGCUGGUAGGCGGUUUGUCGCGCCUGUGGUGUAAUCCUCUGGCUUAACUGGGGGUGUGCGGUGGGUACGGGCAGGCUGGAGUGCGGUAGGGGAGAUUGGAAGUCCGGGUGUAGAGGUGGAAUGCGCAGAUAUCAGGAGGAACACCGGUGGCGAAGGCGGGUCUCUGGGCCGUUACUGACGCUGAGGAGCGAAAGCGUGGGGAGCGAACAGG
rnacentral:rRNA from 1 species